rnacentral:rRNA from 1 species
GACGAACGCUGGCGGCGUGCCUAAUACAUGCAAGUUGAGCGCUGAAGGUUGGUACUUGUACCAACUGGAUGAGCAGCGAACGGGUGAGUAACGCGUGGGGAAUCUGCCUUUGAGCGGGGGACAACAUUUGGAAACGAAUGCUAAUACCGCAUAAAAACUUUAAACACAAGUUUUAAGUUUGAAAGAUGCAAUUGCAUCACUCAAAGAUGAUCCCGCGUUGUAUUAGCUAGUUGGUGAGGUAAAGGCUCACCAAGGCGAUGAUACAUAGCCGACCUGAGAGGGUGAUCGGCCACAUUGGGACUGAGACACGGCCCAAACCCCUACGGGAGGCAGCAGUAGGGAAUCUUCGGCAAUGGACGAAAGUCUGACCGAGCAACGCCGCGUGAGUGAAGAAGGGUGUCGGAUCGUAAAACUCUGUUGGUAGAGAAGAACGUUGGUGAGAGUGGAAAGCUCAUCAAGUGACGGUAACUACCCAGAAAGGGACGGCUAACUACGUG